UACAGAGGGGGCAAGCGUUGUUCGGAAUUACUGGGCGUAAAGGGCGCGUAGGCGGCCUUCUAAGUCGAACGUGAAAUCCCCGGGCUCAACCCGGGAACUGCGUCCGAUACUGGAAGGCUUGAAUCCGGGAGAGGGAUGUGGAAUUCCAGGUGUAGCGGUGAAAUGCGUAGAUACCUGGAGGAACACCGGUGGCGAAGGCGGCGUCCUGGACCAACACUGACACUGAGGAGCGAAAGCCAGGGGAGCAAACGGG
rnacentral:rRNA from 1 species